CUUAUGAUGACAGAUGAAAUGUGAUGAGGUUAAGUCUCAUAAAUGAUUAUAUCUCAUAGUU
rnacentral:tRNA from 1 species